GGAUUUUCGGCGAAAUACAACACUUACAGUUUAAUGGAUGACACAACAGACAAGAUUGCUCACUUUGAGUUGGUGCAGGUUACAGAAGCAUCUAGUUCUGUGGCCAUGGAGCCAGUAGGUUUCAAGAGGGCUGUGAACUCACUACAAGAGCAAGGAAUCAAAAUAGAUGUGCUGACCACAGACAGAUCACCAUCUAUUAGAAAGAUUAUGCGUGUCGAAUAUCCCAACAUUCACCACGAAUUUGAUAUUUGGCAUGUAGUCAAAGGACUUUCCAAAAAGUUGUGCUCCAUGUCAAGAUACAAGGACAAUCGAGAGCUGCAGCCAUGGAUACGAAGUAUUUGCAACCAUCUAUGGUAUUGCUCUGCAAC